rnacentral:rRNA from 1 species
AUGAACGCUGGCGGCGUGCCUAAUACAUGCAAGUCGAACGAGUUCUCGUUGAUGAUCGGUGCUUGCACCGAGAUUCAACAUGGAACGAGUGGCGGACGGGUGAGUAACACGUGGGUAACCUGCCCUUAAGUGGGGGAUAACAUUUGGAAACAGAUGCUAAUACCGCAUAGAUCCAAGAACCGCAUGGUUCUUGGCUGAAAGAUGGCGUAAGCUAUCGCUUUUGGAUGGACCCGCGGCGUAUUAGCUAGUUGGUGAGGUAAUGGCUCACCAAGGCGAUGAUACGUAGCCGAACUGAGAGGUUGAUCGGCCACAUUGGGACUGAGACACGGCCCAAACUCCUACGGGAGGCAGCAGUAGGGAAUCUUCCACAAUGGACGCAAGUCUGAUGGAGCAACGCCGCGUGAGUGAAGAAGGCUAUCGGGUCGUAAAACUCUGUUGUUGGAGAAGAAUGGUCGGCAGAGUAACUGUUGUCGGCGUGACGGUAUCCAACCAGAAAGCCACGGCUAACUACGUGCCAGCAGCCGCGGUAAUACGUAGGUGGCAAGCGUUAUCCGGAUUUAUUGGGCGUAAAGCGAGCGCAGGCGGUUUUUUAAGUCUGAUGUGAAAGCCCUCGGCUUAACCGAGGAAGCGCAUCGGAAACUGGGAAACUUGAGUGCAGAAGAGGACAGUGGAACUCCAUGUGUAGCGGUGAAAUGCGUAGAUAUAUGGAAGAACACCAGUGGCGAAGGCGGCUGUCUGGUCUGUAACUGACGCUGAGGCUCGAAAGCAUGGGUAGCGAACAGGAUUAGAUACCCUGGUAGUCCAUGCCGUAAACGAUGAAUGCUAGGUGUUGGAGGGUUUCCGCUCUUCAGUGCCGCAGCUAACGCAUUAAGCAUUCCGCCUGGGGAGUACGACCGCAAGGUUGAAACUCAAAGGAAUUGACGGGGGCCCGCACAAGCGGUGGAGCAUGUGGUUUAAUUCGAAGCAACGCGAAGAACCUUACCAGGUCUUGACAUCUUUUGAUCACCUGAGAGAUCAGGUUUCCCCUUCGGGGGCAAAAUGACAGGUGGUGCAUGGUUGUCGUCAGCUCGUGUCGUGAGAUGUUGGGUUAAGUCCCGCAACGAGCGCAACCCUUAUGACUAGUUGCCAGCAUUUAGUUGGGCACUCUAGUAAGACUGCCGGUGACAAACCGGAGGAAGGUGGGGAUGACGUCAAAUCAUCAUGCCCCUUAUGACCUGGGCUACACACGUGCUACAAUGGAUGGUACAACGAGUUGCGAGACCGCGAGGUCAAGCUAAUCUCUUAAAGCCAUUCUCAGUUCGGACUGUAGGCUGCAACUCGCCUACACGAAGUCGGAAUCGCUAGUAAUCGCGGAUCAGCACGCCGCGGUGAAUACGUUCCCGGGCCUUGUACACACCGCCCGUCACACCAUGAGAGUUUGUAACACCCGAAGCCGGUGGCGUAACCCUUUUAGGGAGCGAGCCGUCUAAGGUGGGACAAAUGAUUAGGGUG